GUUCCCGCCCGGGUCAUGAGGGGACACCCUGACUCCAGUCCUGCAUCGGGGGUGGUGAUAAUGGAGAAGGAUGGAGUGGUGACAGAAAUCCGUGUAGAGCAGAAUACAUUAUUUGAAGAAGUCUGAGUUUCAGAGAGUUGGUGGCUGUGCUCAGCUUCCUGGAGGAGGAAUUGCAGAUGCAAACACUUGGAUAUGUGUUUGAAGUUUUCCAGCAGAUAGCAUCAGUGGUCGCAGGCAGAAUUUGCUGUAUGUAACAGAAGGUUUUCACUCAGGCUUAAAAGAGUAAUUUAAUUGCAUUCUCAUGAAAGUUAAAUGCUGUUUGCUCAGAUUAAAGGAGGAAGAAACACUCUUCACAUUUCAGCCCCCACACUUCUGAGUGCCUGUUUAUCCCGGAGAGAAGGCGUCAGCCACCAGUUUGUACCGGGAUAAAUAACAAAUCCUCUAAUUGAGAGCCAACGGAUCCUAAUUGACUUUAUGAUCAUCCUCCAGCUGGGCUCAGCCCUUCUCUCCAGUCAUGGCAUGGAGCAUCCUUUGUUUAAGGCACCCUGAGGUGUGUGAAACCUCUGAGUGCUGCUCUUGUACAGUUUGAAAUGCAACAACUGCAUGCAGAUCUGCUGCUUCCCGUUUCAAAGGCCUAACCAAGAGCGUUCUGAGGCAAUCCAAAAGCUCUUUGUGGGUGAGAGGAGAUGCAGAUUCAGUUGCAAACUCCAGGAAAGUGCUGAUGGAUUUAUUCCCCUGCGCAAACCCCUGGCACCGAGUGCUGACACCAAAGCCUCAGCCUGAGCCCGGCUGCUCCGAGUGCCUUGCCCAUGGGUUUGUAAGGCCAUUCCCAGCUAGUAAUUGGUGA